rnacentral:rRNA from 1 species
GACGAACGCUGGCGGCGUGCUUAACACAUGCAAGUCGAACGGAAAGGCCCUGCUUUUGUGGGGUGCUCGAGUGGCGAACGGGUGAGUAACACGUGAGUAACCUGCCCUGGACUUUGGGAUAACUUCAGGAAACUGGGGCUAAUACCGGAUAGGAGCUCCUGCUGCAUGGGGGGGGUUGGAAAGUUUCGGCGGUUGGGGAUGGAGGGGGGGGUUAUCAGCUUGUUGGUGGGGUAGUGGCUUACCCAGGCUUUGACGGGUAGCCGGCCUGAGAGGGUGACCGGCCACAUUGGGACUGAGAUACGGCCCAGACUCCGACGGGAGGCAGCAGUGGGGAAUAUUGCACAAUGGGCGGAAGCCUGAUGCAGCAACGCCGCGUGCGGGAUGACGGCCUUCGGGUUGUAAACCGCUUCCGCCUGUGACGAAGCGUGAGUGACGGUAAUGGGUAAAGAAGCACCGGCCAACUACGUG